rnacentral:rRNA from 1 species
UACAACACCAAAGGUGUUUUGGUGAUUUGAGACAAAAUCGUCUGGAACGAUUUUGAACGCCGUAAGCGGCGGCCCCGAAGGGGUGAGUAUCAGGAUGAUACGAAUACUCUAGAUUUUCAGCGAAUGUUCCGAGAUUGGAUUGGCUGGCUGCACAGAAAUAGCGUGUAGCGGGUUGAUUGAAACAGAAUUUGCCUGGCGGCCAUAGCGCGGUGGACCCACCUGAACCCAUGCCGAACUCAGAAGUGAAACGCCGUAGCGCCGAUGGUAGUGUGGGGUCUCCCCAUGCGAGAGUAGGACACUGCCAGGCAUCAAAU